UCCAGGCGUGGUGGCGGCUCUUGGAGGCUUGCUCUCCUGGGAGCAUGUUCUUUUCCCAGAAAGAGAGGUAGAGGGAGACGCGUCUCUGGGUGUGGGGUCCAGAGCCCACCAAGAACGUGCCUGAAGGACGCCUCCAAUGUGUCCAGCCCGAGGUGCUCGGCAGCUGCUCCCCAGUGCCCACUGGCGCCAGAAGGGCACAUGCUGACAUGCAGAGGAGAGCUCAGAGCCCAGGUGGAGUGUUCCGGAGGACCCAGCUUCUAUCACCUGCUGUUUGCAUCUGUUCACAGGUGUGUGGGUUACCUGCUGGAUGGAUGUCGAUGUGUCUGCAAUUCACACUCAAGUCCACCUUUGCUCUAGUGCAGAUUCAAGCAGCAGAUCACCUUGCUGCAGCCCCAGGCAGAGGCUGGUGGUGCCGGGGCAGGGCGAGGACAGGCCAGGACACCAGAACCAUGCAGGCCAGCUCCUGGGGGCUGCGCACCCUCAUCACAGGGUGGUGGAGCCCCGACACAGAGGGUGAAGCCAGAAAGGCAGCCCCUGAUGUGCUCAUGCAGCCCUGACGGCCACAGGCUCCCCACUUGCUGCCUUCCCUCCACUGCCACCCGUCUCCAAAGACCCUCAGAAGACAGGGCAGGGAGUAUGUCUUGUUGCUCAGCAUCUGACAGCUUUUAGGGGAAUAAUCAGGGCCCGUGUGAGCGCGAGGAAGGAUCGAUUCUGCUCUGCCCCACGCCGCGUGUCUUCUUGUCAAGAGCAAAGAUCUACAAUGGUUUUACCUAAGCUGCUGCCUCCUGGACAACCCCCGGAGAUGGCAGCUGUCUGUGUUGUGCUAAAUCUUUAAUGGCUUCUGACUGCAAGGUGCUCUGCAUGAAUCCUCACCAUCCCCUCGCGGGAGAGAAGGCUUGGGGGAGACACCAGGAGAGGUGGUCUGGCAUGAGACGGAAAUCAGGAGCCGUGAGAUCAAGCUGAGCAGACUUUCGCCUACAGUGAACCAUCUGCUUAGAACAACUGGUGCUUCCAGUGACCCACAACCAACAUGCCAGGAUCUCCCUGGCUGUCCCCAGAUCUGGUAACCGGGACUAGGCGGAUGCGCCCCAGCAGAGCAUCCUGACGCCCUUGCUGCCUUCCGGGGCCACAUCAAGUGGCCUGGGAGAAGUUGGCAGAGGCCCCCACAAAAGUUAACAGUGUCAGUGCACCAAGCUGUGAGUACUUCAUUAGGUGAGUUUCUAGCCGGGGUUUCCUCCUGAUUUUGUCCCGUUUUCAUAUUUCUGUCCCAAAGCCCCGAGUUGGAUGGAUACAUGUCAAAGCCAGGUUUUUAGUAUCGAAACUCUUCAGCUGACAUUCAAGUUGCUGCCACUUCUCUUUCCCAAGGCAUAAAGCAGGUGACUGCAGUUGGUCGGCGGGGUGGCAGGGAGGCUGUUGUAGUGGGAAGACAGAGAAGUGGUGGCCCCCAGGAUGCUCUUCCCCAGGGACGCCACCUCCCUCCAGGGAUAGCCUUGACUUGCUGACGGCCACCAACCCCUUCAGACCUUGCUCACACUUCCUGAUUCUCCUCUUUAUCUGUCUUUUCUAGUCUUCCUUGUGGGCGGGGACUGCCUGUGGACAGCUGGGUGUGGUGGGCAUGCAGCAGGUGCCCAGCGCCUGGGGACUGGCAGGAUCCCUGGUGGCGGGUCGCCGUCUGGGGCGCCACAGCAGUGACAUGUUCUCGAGCCGCUGGUGCCUGACACAGCGGGGAGAAUGCCCAGGCGGCUCCUUGUUUUCUCCAUCAUGCACCUCAUUUUCUGGACCUCGGUGUCCCCCGCUGGCGUACAGGCCACCUGUGGGUUCUCCGCCCACUGUUUACUUCAGCAGUUACCGGCAAUCACCUGUGCACAUGUCCUUGCAGCCGCACCGCGAAGCUCCCCUCUGCAGGGGCUUCUCCUCUGCCAGCAGCAAAGGGUACAUGGCACUGCCUAAUGGCACCGGCUUCCCUGGCCCUGGGGGGCCUAGCUGGAGAA